rnacentral:lncRNA from 1 species
GGCCAUUACAUAUAAUAAAAAGCAGUUGUUAAAAAACAAGAAAAGAAGAGGAAAAAAGUUAACAUACUGAAAGAUAUCUGAAAAUAUGUGCAACAUUUGUGGACCUUUGACCUCUACAAAGAGGAAUAUAUGAGCAGAGAUUCAGUCCUGGGAUUUGACCGUCUGAAGGGCAGUGAAGACAAAUAUGCUCCCAGGCAGAACUGAACAUUGAAAGCCAAAUGGGAAAAGACAAGUUAUGCAAAUUAUUUAGGAGCCUCAGAAAGGACUUUAAUGGAUUUGCAAAUGGAGCACAUCAAGAAGAUAUUAAAGCAACUUUUAAUAUAAAUGUUAGAAGGAGGAAAUCACUAAAUCUUGAAACCUGGAAAACAUUGUUAAAGGGCUACUGUUCCUUAUGGUUUUACCUAUCAAACUUAACAAUCGGUCAUCAUAUUAUUUUAUGA